AGUAGCUCAAUUGGCAGAGCACCGGUCUCCAAAACCGAAGGUUGCGGGUUCAAUUCCUGCCUGU
rnacentral:tRNA from 1 species